AAGUCGUAACAAGGUUUCCGUAGGUGAACCUGCGGAAGGAUCAUUAAAGAGAGACGGGGGCUUCGGCCCCCAAACCUCCAACCCAUUGUGAACGAUACUUUUAGUUGCUUUGGCGGGGCGAGGUCGCAAGGCCCCGCUGGCCCUUAGUUGGGCUGGCGUGCCUCCGCCGAAGGAUCUUAAAAUUUCUUGCUUUUGAAAACCAUGAAGUCUGAACAUUUUGAAAAAUCAAAUAGCGAUAAAACUUUCAACAACGGAUCUCUUGGUUCUG
rnacentral:misc_RNA from 1 species